rnacentral:rRNA from 1 species
UCCCGGUUGAUCCUGCCGGACCCGACUGCUAUCAGAAUGAGAUUAAGCCAUGCGAGUCAACGUAGCAAUACGUGGCACACGGCUCAGUAACACGUAGUCAACAUAACCAGAGGACGUGGAUAAACUCGGGAAACUGAGGCUAAACCGCGAUAGACCAAGAUACCUGGAAUGGUUUUUGAUCAAAAUCUAUAUGGCCUUUGGAUUGGACUGCGACCGAUCAGGCUGUUGGUGAGGUAAUGGCCCACCAAACCUGUAACCGGUACGGGCUCUGAGAGGAGGAGCCCGGAGAUGGGUACUGAGAAAAGGACCCAGGCCCUAUGGGGCGCAGCAGGCGCGAAACCUCUGCAAUAGGCGAAAGCCUGACAGGGUUAUUCUGAGUGACUUUCGCUAAGAAAGUCUUUUGACAUCUCUAAAAAUGGUGUAGAAUAAGGGGUGGGCAAGUCUGGUGUCAGCCGCCGCGGUGAUACCAGCACCCCGAGUGGUCGGGACGAUUAUUGGGCCUAAAGCAUCCGUAGCC